GGGGGCGUGAGGACAGAUGGCAAGUCCACAAGUGGUUGUGUUUGUGACUCUUUAUUAUCUGCCUGUACUGUCUUCAGCACCUUGCACUUAUUAACUCAUUUAAUUCCACAAUUACAGCAUGGGAGAGUAUUACUGUUAUCCCAUUUCAUGAGUAGGAACUGAGGCACAGAGAGGUUUAGUGGUUUAUUUCAGGUCACGCAGCUACUAAGUAAGAUUUGAAUCCACAAAAUCAGGCUCCAUACUCCAUGUUCCUAACCCGUACUGAAUGUACCAGGCACUAUGCUAGGCCAUGGGGUUGCCGCCAGGAGGAACAACACAUAGUCACCUCCUCAAGGAAGGUCAGGGUCCCCCUUCUGAGUUCUCGAGCCUUCCGUACCUGUGCUUACGUUUAUUGCACGUACCCUGUCGUGUUUACAUGCACCUCGCGUGCACCUCUUACGCAGUAGGAGUCGACACUGUUGGUUUCCCUCUCGCUGUGUUUUGGGGUCCAGUUACAAGUGCUUACAUGGAGCGGGUUGGUGGGGGUUUUGAGUGAUAGGACACGGUGUCGGGAGGUGCUCGGCACACCCGAGUCUCCCUGCAAAGUACUUGGUGAUCGUCCAGUUAAAUGGGCUGAAACGGCGCAGGCUUGAGGGCUGGACCCUUUAUAAUAGUGCUUGCUUCUGCCUGUCCGAAUCACUGUCCGUGCGCUGGAGUUCCCGGAGCUGAGGGCGAGUUCACUGUGUCUGUCAUCGAAUCAUUUCCAGAACCGCUUGUGGCCACGGCGCCUUCGCUCAGAGGUGCAGGGCUGCCCCUCACCUCCUCUCCCUCCUGGGGUGCCUGUGCUCACCGUCUUGCUGUAAGUGGCUGAAGGGCUUAGUGGAGAAUGCUGAGCUCCCCGCCACACAAGUGUCCGCUGUCCUCACGUUCAUUGCCUACAUGUCAUGACCCUUUCAGACUGGGCUCCUGCAUUUGAAGCCUUGAGGUAAAGGUGAAAAGUAAGAAAAAAAAGCGUCACGGUUGGAAAUAAAAACGUGCAGUGGGGAGGUUUCCAGAGUAAUACAAAACAGCUUUAUAUUUUAGAAGAUUUUAAGCAGGGUCUGGUUCGAGGCAGCGUGCCCUGAGUUCCCAUCACCCAUCGCGGCUGUGUUCUGAGGCUCAGGACUGCCUUCAGGGGAUUCCGGGAAAGCAGCUGACGGCCUGACACUGACGUGUGAUUGCUCCUGGUAGGUGGCAUAGCCGGCGGGCAGCGUCCAGCACCGGGUGGGCGCUCAAGGGGAAGCCAACGUGAAUAGGGACGGAGAGGCAGAGGGGACGUUGAAGACUGUAUACUCAGCUGACAUUUAUUGAGCACCUACUGUGUGCCAGUUGCUUGUAAAUCUAUUAUUUCAAAUAAACCUCACCAGAAGCCUGUGAGGAAAAUACUACAUUACAGAAGAGGAAGUUGACACUCGAAGAAAUUCAUGGCUUGCCUGUCUCCCAGGGAGGAAGCGGCAGGGUCUGCCUUGGAAGUCGGGUCUGACUCCAGGUUCUGCGUCUGGUUCGCUGCAGCCCCUGCUUUUCCUGUGUGCCCGCUGUCGCUGAUCUCACAGCUGGAGGCGGACCAGAGGGGCCUUCCAGAUCAACUCAGCCCGGGUUUCUCUGCCUCUGUUAUAAUUCAGGUCACCACAGAUGAACCCCAAAACCUCACACUUUCUUUUUAUGAGUUUGAAGUUCAAAAUAAUUUAAAUAUCAUGAUUCAAAACAAAUCAAAGCAAAGGGACAAUGUUUUCAGUAUUUUGUUUUUAGAGGAAAUAAGCCUCCCCAGAGCUCCGGGUUCGCGGCCCUCGCCUCCGCCCUCCACCCGCCCGGCGGAGAGCUGCUCGUCCUCGCCCCCACCCGCUGGUCACCGACUUCCCGGGAAGUUGAGCCCAGAGAGGAGGAAAUGGCCAGUGACAUGGCCAGCAUUUGAAGUCAGUUCUCUGCCUCCGACUGUGGUCUCUUGCCUUCACCUCUGCUCUCUCUCAGCCUGCUCUCGCCACGCCCAGGCCCGGGUCUGCGCUCCGGGCAGACGCCAUCCCCCAGUUCCAGAAUGUGUCGCCCCCAGGCCUGCGCUCGGCCCGUUCCUCCGCCCGGAUCGCCGCCCUCCUCCUCCUGUUUGCGGCGUGAACUCCAUUCCUCCAGAUCCGGCUGAAAGGCAGCUCCCUCGAGAAGUUUUUCUGGACUCCCACCUGCAUCCAAAUAAAGGGGCGGAUUCCUCUUUCCUGCCUGGCGUGAAGAUUGCCUCCCGCGUGUGUUAACACGUAAAUGGGGUUCGCCAGUCUCUCUCCCUCUUAAUCGCUUAUGACCUCCCUGGGCAUCCCCCCGCCGCUGCCAAAACUCUGCGGGUGGGGCGGGCCCGCAGUUGCGCGUGUUUUGCGCAGAGUGCCGGCGCGAGCGAGCGCUCAGCGGACGCGGGUGAGGUCCGCGCCGCCCCGCGCGCUGGGUCCCAUCCCGUCCGUGUCCUUCACGGCGAUCGUUGUCUUCGCCGGGCUGCGAGCCUCGGGGGCGACUGUCCUCUGCAGGAAUCAGGGAGCCUCUGCUGGCUUUCCAGCCGGAGAGUUUCUUGAUCCACAGGCAGCACAGAGACUUGCUCACGGACUGAAGUUGUGGGCCGCCCGGUGUCCAGGCCCGCGCCUUUGGCGUCUGUCCCUGGAAGGGCUUCGUGUUACACAGAGGAGGCUGGGGAGGAGAAGCGCUUUGCCUUCAUUCUCUGUUUAUUCAAGAACGUUGCCCGCUGCUGCCUAGGAGCUGUUCUGGGCACCAGCGCUGUAGCAGCGAGCGAAGCGGAGAAAACAUGGCUCGUGGCGUUUUCAUUCCCCUGCGGGAUAUGGACAAUCAAUAAAGAAAUAAAUCUAUCAGUCCAGAUGGUAAUAGAUAUUAUGAAGAAAGAGCAGGGACCACCACAGACCCAGAGGAGCACGGGCAGACCCCUUUAGACUCAAGGUGAAGAAGGGCUGCUCGAAGAAGCCGCGUCUGGAGAGCUGUGAAUGGGAAGUGUGUUCCAGGCAGAGGGGCAGCAUUUGCAAAGGCCCUGAGGUGGAAAUAAGCUGGGUGCCUAGAGGAACAGCAAGGUGGCUGGAGAGGCAGCACGGACAGUGCCUGCGCUGGGUCCCGGGUGGUGCUCUGUGGCCCCUGCUGGGGUCAGAGGAGAAUUUGGAGGUUCUGGAGAAGCUUCCAGCCGGCUGCUCUGUUGUUCUCUGAAUGCAGACGGUGGUGGAGCCCUGUCUUGGCCCGCAGCCGUUAGGAUAUUUCUCAGGGAAAGCCCUUGGACCAAGAAGUCUGUUUUUUCGUUGGAAACUAUGAGACUCUCUGCAAAAACAAAGGAAUUUGGAUUCUGUUCAGGAAAAAUGUAACCUACAAACAAAUAGCCUUGGAAAAUCUGUGCCUCCCCCUCGGUGCCUGGGUCAGGCACAGGGACAGCCCCACCCCCGAGCUGCUUUCGAGCUGGAGGCCACCUCCUUUUUCCUCUUCUGUGUGUUGUCUCUGGCUGCCCAGAGGGCAGUGCCUCCUCUCCAUGCCUUCCCCUGCCCUGCCGCCCAGGGCCCCUGUCUCUGCAGUGCCCUUGAUCUGGUUGGAAUGCUCUUCCCUUCCCUCGCUGCAACCCUUCCUCAUUCUUUAAGACCCAGUUCCAAUGUCUCCCCUCCGGUUCUGAGUUCCCCAGGUGGCUAGUUGCUCUGCUAUUAUGUUGCUCUGAAUAAUUUCGAAUUUAAAUAUACUUCCCUUUUCUUUCAGAUAGCAAUCCCUGAUUUUAUUCUUUUAGGAAAUAUGGUAAUAAUACUGACUGCCACUCUUAAACUCUUGCUAUGUGCCAAGCGGGGUUGUACAUUAUGGUACCCACUGCAUGCGCAAAGUGAUUAGGAAAAAACUGGCACAUAGUGAGGAGUCAGUAAAAGUUACUUCUUAUUAUCCUUCUUUUAUCUUAAUUCUCGCAUAGCACUUGCAGCAAGUAAGAUUUGUCAUGCACAUUAUGAUGAUCGGGUUCCUCGUCUGUGAGCUCCUUGAAGGUGGGGACUGUGUCUUCUUGCUUGUCCAAGUCUGUGGACGUGCAAAGGGUGUUUGGUGAGUGAACAUUUAGCCAUUGAAACUGAUGACUGAGUGCCGAGAUUUACUUUGUGAGUUUCCAAAUCAACUGAGAGUGGCUUUGGCCUUAAGAAUAGGUAUGGGGACUCAGAAGAUCUGGGCUUAAUUCUAUUCCAGCUACCUGCCAGCUUUGUGACCUUGGGUACAUCAGCCAAUCUUUUCUGAACCCAAAAACCUAUUUUUCAAAAUGGGUGUCAUAGUCCCUAACUUGCCUUCCUCACAGGUUUUCCUUGAGCGUCAGAUGAGCUCACACAUAGGAGAGUUUUGUGAAUUGUAAAGUAUUUUACACACGUGAGACAUUAUUGUUGGAAUCAUUUUGGACCCCGUGCCAUCACCACCAAACGUGGCAGAAUAUGAGCCCUCGGGUAGCUCUAGCUGGACAAAUAGCAAUGUGCUGCUUUUGGUUUUCACAGUGUUUAAAAAUGUAGUCCCGUAAUGUUUGUAACCGGUGUUUCUUCUCCUCAAAGCAUGCAUCCAAGGUAUUAGUCUCAGUCCUUUUAAAGGUUUUAAAAAGGGCCUUGAUUUUCCUGCUUGGCUGCUGUAAAAUCUAUAACCCUGAACGUCACGGUGACGUUCUCUCUCAGGAAACGUCCGCAAGAAUUGUAACUGAACAAAAACAGUAUUUAUUUUCCUUUUUAAUUCAAGAAGCUAAAUGCUAGGGAGUAGAAGGAGAGAUGAGAAGAAGUGUAAGAGAUGGGCUUGCUCUCAGGGAGCUCACAGGCUGGUUUGGGAGCCGGGUCUGGGUCCUAGGCUUGUGGGCAAAGGACGUGAUCUGAGGAAGGAGAGACCUGCAGUGUUGAGGUGGUCUGUGAAGGUUGCAGGGAGAAAGCGGGCCUGUGUUAAGCUUAAAGGAAGACCAUUGUUUGGACCACGACCCUGGGAGCAUAAUUCAUAAGCCAGGGCCCGGCCGCUGACUACUGCUGCUCUCAGUUCCCCUUUCAGCAGGAUUGUGAUUUCUUUAGUUCUUGGGGGCUCAGGAGGAAGACAUGAGGACGUUCUAGACAUGCACUCACGGACAAACGUCUGAAUCCAAAAAACUAAUAUUUUGUGACCGAUGCUUUCAUGAUGAGGAAAUAAAAACUCCUUACUUUUUUUUUAAAAAACGUUUUGGCCGUGAUGUACUUGGCUUAAAAGAUGUCAGAAAGAAAGCCGUUUAUAGAGAAUCGUAAUACUCUAACUUCAGCAUAACGCUAACAACAAAGGUGCCCCUGGAUCGCUAAGGUUAACACACACUGCUGAGAAUAUGGGAUGGCAGUAACAAGAACCCAAAGAAGGAAAUAUUAAAAAUACGCAAUUAGGAACUAUUUAGGAAAGAAAGUGAGAACACCAGGUCUGGAAAUGUAUACAACACAGCCAAAGCCGUAGUCAGAGGUAAAUUCAAAGCAUUAAUGCUAUCACUUAAGAAUAAGAAUAAAUGAAAAGAAAGUAACUACAUGUCUAACUUAAGAAUUUAGAAAAUGGGGGCCGGCCCGGUGGCGCAGCGGUUAAGUUCACACGUUCUGAUUCUCGGUGGCCCGGGGUUCAGUGGUUCGGAUCCUGGAUGCGGACAUGGCGCCGCUUGGCACGCCCUGCUGAGGUAGGCGUCCCACGUAUAAAGUAGAAGGAGAUGGGCAUGAUGUUAGCUCAGGGCCAGGCUUCCUCAGCAAAAAAGAGGAGGACUGCCAGUAGUUAGCUCAGGGCUAAUCUUCCUCAAAGAAAGAAAUAAAUAAAAGAAUUUAGAAAAUGGGCAGCAAAACAAGACCAAGAAAAGCAAGACAAUAAAAAAUACAAGGAUGAUAAGUGAAUUAGAAAAUCAACAAAGUAGGAGAAUUCGUAAAUAAAUCCAUAAGAUGGUUCUUUGGAGGGCAACGUAAAAUAGGAAAACCUCUAGAAAAUCUGCUUAAGAGAAAAAAAUCAAAUAACUAAUAUCUGAAAAAUUUCUACUGUUUGUAAAGCAUGUCCCCAUUCCGUAUCACUCUUGGUCGCUAAGCUAAUCCUGUCUGUUAUAUAUUUGUAUCCCUAUUUUGCUAGUGAUCAAACUGAGAAUCAAACAAGUGAGGUUACUUUUUAGGGUCAUACAACUAGUGAGUAGUUAAAGCCGUGAUUUGAAGCAGGUCUGCUAACUUUGUUGAAUAUUCUUCCAAUCAUCCCAUAGCAUCCUCUCAGGAUGAAUUCAAGAAAGGAAGAGUGGAACAUUUAGCAUGUCUCCGUUGGUCUCCUGGGACCGCCGUAACACAUCACCACGCAUUCCUGCUGGCUUGGAGCAAUAGGAAUUUCUUCUGUCACAGUUCUGGAGCCUAGAAGUCCAAAACCAAGUUGUGAGCAGGGCCAUGCUCCCUCUGAAGGCUCUCGGGGAGAGUCCUCGCUGUCUCUCCCAGCCUCUGGAGGUGGCCGUAGUCCUUAGUGUCCUCGACUUGCAGCUCUAGCAUCUAACUUCUGCCCCCAUCUUCCCAGGGUUUUCUCCCUCUGUGUCUUGACUUUGUCUCCAUCUGCGCAUAUGUCUCCUCUGUUUUCCCUUCUUGUGAGGAGUUAGUUUUCCAAAUCUACAAUUUUCCUUUCAGUAUAACUUCAUCUUAAUUGUGUCUGCUAUGACCCUAUUUCCAAAUAAAGUUACAUUCUGAGAUUCUGUGUUGACAUGAAUUUUUUGGGGGGAAACCAUGCAACCCAGUACAAUGUCCUUAUUUCUUCUGAGCGUGGUUUCAGAAAUCUUCGUUGUG
ensembl:lncRNA